AAGUCGUAACAAGGUUUCCGUAGGUGAACCUGCGGAAGGAUCAUUACUGGAUUCAAUGGCUACACCUCUGAACCGUCGCCUUCGGGCGUUAUAGGCUCUCGUCCGUGAAUGUCUUGCUUAAUGCAUAAAGAUAACUUUCAGCAACGGAUCUCUUGGCUCUC
rnacentral:misc_RNA from 1 species